GACGAACGCUGGCGGCGUGCUUAACACAUGCAAGUCGAACGGUAAGGCCCUUCGGGGUACACGAGUGGCGAACGGGUGAGUAACACGUGGGUGAUCUGCCCUGCACUUCGGGAUAAGCCUGGGAAACUGGGUCUAAUACCGGAUAGGACCCUGGGAUGCCUGUCCUGGGGUGGAAAGCUUUUGCGGUGUGGGAUGGGCCCGCGGCCUAUCAGCUUGUUGGUGGGGUGAUGGCCUACCAAGGCGACGACGGGUAGCCGGCCUGAGAGGGUGACCGGCCACACUGGGACUGAGAUACGGCCCAGACUCCUACGGGAGGCAGCAGUGGGGAAUAUUGCACAAUGGCGCAAGCCUGAUGCAGCGACGCCGCGUGAGGGAUGACGGCCUUCGGGUUGUAAACCUCUUUCAGCACCGACGAAGCGCAAGUGACGGUAGGUGCAGAAGAAGGACCGGCCAACUACGUGCCAGCCGCCGCGGUAAUAC
rnacentral:rRNA from 1 species